CCCCGUUGUGUGUGUGACAGCGGAAGAGACCGAGAUGUGGAUCGCCGUCUGCCUCUUUCUCGUCUGUCCGGUGGCUGGGAACUCUGUGACCCAGAUUCAAGCGUCUGAGUCAGCCAGGGAAGGGCGGCCCGUGAAACUGAAUUGUCAGUACAGCACCACGUACACGUACUACGCCCUGGGAUGGUACCAGCAGCUGCCUGGGCAGCAGCCUCUGUUCCUAGAGUACAGAAAUGAGAGGGGAAAUGAGUACAAGCCCCGUUCUGUGGCACCUCGGUUUUCCUCCGAGCUCAGCACCGAUGUCAAAUCGUUCACACUGUCCAUAGAAGGGGUGCAGUGGGCUGACUCGGCGGUGUACUUCUGUGCUCUUGGAUCUAACUGGGGAGGAUCCUCCUAG